rnacentral:rRNA from 1 species
AUUGAACGCUGGCGGCAUGCCUUACACAUGCAAGUCGAACGGUAACAGGUCUUCGGAUGCUGACGAGUGGCGAACGGGUGAGUAAUACAUCGGAACGUGCCUAGUGGUGGGGGAUAACUACUCGAAAGAGUGGCUAAUACCGCAUGAGAUCUACGGAUGAAAGCAGGGGAUCGCAAGACCUUGUGCUACUAGAGCGGCCGAUGGCAGAUUAGGUAGUUGGUGGGAUAAAAGCUUACCAAGCCGACGAUCUGUAGCUGGUCUGAGAGGACGAUCAGCCACGCUGGGACUGAGACACGGCCCAGACUCCUACGGGAGGCAGCAGUGGGGAAUUUUGGACAAUGGGCGCAAGCCUGAUCCAGCAAUGCCGCGUGCAGGAUGAAGGCCUUCGGGUUGUAAACUGCUUUUGUACGGAACGAAAAGCCCUGGGUUAAUACCCUGGGGUCAUGACGGUACCGUAAGAAUAAGCACCGGCUAACUACGUGCCAGCAGCCGCCGUAACAC